GACGUAGGGGGCCAGCGUUGUUCGGAAUUACUGGGUGUAAAGGGUUCGUAGGCGGUGCGGCAAGUUGGGAGUGAAAUCUCUGGGCUCAACCCAGAGGCUGCUUCCAAAACUGCUGUGCUUGAGUGUGGGAGAGGCGCGUGGAAUUGCAGGUGUAGCGGUGAAAUGCGUAGAUAUCUGCAGGAACACCCGUGGCGAAAGCGGCGCGCUGGACCACUACUGACGCUGAGGAACGAAAGCUAGGGGAGCAAACGG
rnacentral:rRNA from 1 species